rnacentral:lncRNA from 1 species
CCCUGGUCUAUUCCUGCCGGCGGGGUGGCCUCUUGUUUGGUGGCUCUGAGGCCUGGCAGUCGCUGGCCUUCCUCUUUGGGGCUCGCCGUGGCCGCUGAGGUAGGCUGGUGGCGGAGGGCCCUGUCACAGCCUGUCCUGGCUCCUGAUGGGACGUCACAGGGUUGGGAUGGAGGCGGCUGGGACUCCCAUGGAGCACUUCUCCUGAAGUGCCCGGCAUUCCCCCCGUGUUGGAGCUGGCGCGGCUGCUGGAGGGUGCUGGGCCAGGGCCAGGAGCCUCGUCUUGUGGGGCAGCUCUGGGCUCUGAUGCAGCGGCAUCCCGUGCCCCAGCAGCAGGGGCGACGUUGAAGCC